UACGUAGGGCGCAAGCGUUGUCCGGAAUUAUUGGGCGUAAAGAGCUCGUAGGCGGUCUGUCGCGUCGGAUGUGAAAGCCCGGGGCUUAACCCCGGGUCUGCAUUCGAUACGGGCAGACUAGAGUGUGGUAGGGGAGAUCGGAAUUCCUGGUGUAGCGGUGAAAUGCGCAGAUAUCAGGAGGAACACCGGUGGCGAAGGCGGCUCACUGGCCCGGUACUGACGCUGAGGUGCGAAAGCGUGGGGAGCAAACAGG
rnacentral:rRNA from 1 species